GGGCCCGCACAAGCGGUGGAGCAUGUGGUUUAAUUCGAUGAUACGCGAGGAACCUUACCAGGGCUUAAAUGCAGAACGACAGAGGUGGAAACACCUCCUUCUUCGGACGGUCUGCAAGGUGCUGCAUGGUUGUCGUCAGCUCGUGCUGUGAAGUGUCGGGUUAAGUCCCAUAACGAGCGCAACCCCUAUUUCUAGUUGCCAGCGGUUCGGCCGGGGACUCUAGAGAAACUGCCAGCGUAAGCUGUGAGGAAGGUGGGGAUGACGUCAAAUCAUCACGGCCCUUACGUCCUGGGCCACACACGUGCUACAAUGGUGGGGACAACGAGUCGCUAACCCGCGAGGGUAAGCUAAUCUUCAAACCCCAUCUCAGUUCGGAUCGGAGUCUGCAACUCGACUCCGUGAAGUUGGAAUCGCUAGUAA
rnacentral:rRNA from 1 species